CCAGCAUAUUGUAGACUAUCAUAAACACAUUUGUUUAUAACAAAAAGUAAUAAAAACAUAUGUAGAUUUUUUUAAAUUGGACGUAUUGCUAUUUUUAUCCUAGUCGAAAUUAUGAAACGAAACGUUUUGACAGUCCGUUUGCCAAUAAGCAGUGAUCAGUUUCUUUUGUUUGUUUUUCUAUUGUUUACCUACUAUAUUAGAUGAUGACUUACCUCCAAAACGCUUUAAAACUUUCGUUUAUAAUUCUAAGUGUGUUUAUAAUUAAAGAGCUACAGUGAAAUAAAAUGAAUUCUUCAAGAAAGGCAGCACCCAUGACAAAAGAUGAGACGAUGAUUCUAGCAGAACUUGUGGCGGCGAAAAAACAUUUCAAUAAUAAGGCAACAAAUGCCACAAACAAUAAAUUGAAGGAGCAGGCUUGGCAAACCCUUGUAAAUGAUUUUAAUUCGUCGAUUCGUCGUUUCCCACGAACUCCAUCGCAGCUUCGACUAAAAUGGGAAAACUUAAAGAACGCUACGGCAACAUAAGAAACAACCUUAGUAAGGCUGGAGGUGGUAAGGAUUGCAGAUGAAAUUUUGGAUAAAGCAUGCACAUUGUUGUAGGUCACAUAUAAUAUUUUUAACACUUUUACAGCCAAGCGGAAACAAGAUGGAAGAAAAGAAAUGCAAGGCUAGCAUAGGGACAAUGCAUUAGCAGAAUAUCUAAUAGCAAAAAAGAGACUUGACUUGGAAAAUAAAGAAAAGGAGAUUGUUGUAGCAAAAGUUAAGUUAGAUUUAGAUAAUUUAAAAAAUUAAAAAUUACUUAAAAGGAAUAUUAAAUUUCAUAAAUUAAGUAGGCAAUAAUAAUUUUAUGUUAGAUAGUUUUUUAAGUAUAUGUACAAAUUCUAAAUUAAAUAUCUUGCAUGUACUAACUACCAUGUAAUUAUCAUUUUGGAAAAUAAAAAAUAGUCAAAUUAUCUUUGGAGUUUAUUUUAUAAAUUAUCUUUGGAAGCAAUUAUUUAUAAGUACAUAGUUGUAUUUCAGAUGUAAGUUUUGAAAAAUUGUUACGAACAAUUAUAUUAUUUUCCUGUAAUGUAUCUGCGACUGAAAUUUCUGAUUCUAAUUCUUCUAAAUUCAUACUUCUGACGAUAUUAUGCAGCAUGGCAGCUAUAAUAACAGCUUGCAUAUUUUCUAGUUUUAAUCUACUUUUCAAUGAUAUACAGGGAGUCUUCUUUUACAAACACCAAUGCAU